GUGAGGAAUAUUGGGCAAUGGGCGAAAGCCUGACCCAGCCACGCCGCGUGAGUGAUGAAGGCCUUCGGGUUGUAAAGCUCUGUGGGGAGGGAAGAAAAAGCGCAGGAGUAACUGCCUGUGUGUUGACGGUACCUCCUUAGCAAGCACCGGCUAACUCUGUGCCAGCAGCCGCGGUAAUACAGAGGGUGCAAACGUUGCUCGGAAUUACUGGGCGUAAAGCGCGUGUAGGCUGACAUGCAAGUCGGGUGUGAAAUCCCAGGGCUCAACCUUGGAACUGCACUCGAAACUGCACGUCUUGAGUACUGGAGAGGGAAGCGGAAUUCCGGGUGUAGAGGUGAAAUUCGUAGAUAUCCGGAGGAACACCAGUGGCGAAGGCGGCUUCCUGGACAGUAACUGACGCUGAGACGCGAAAGCGUGGGGAGCAAACAGGGUUAGAUACCCUAGUAGUCC
rnacentral:rRNA from 1 species